rnacentral:rRNA from 1 species
AACGCGAAGAACCUUACCUAGGUUUGACAUCCUCUGACCGCUGUAGAAAUACAGUUUUUGUAGCAAUACAACAGAGAGACAGGUGCUGCAUGGCUGUCGUCAGCUCGUGUGGUGACAUGUUGGGUUAAGUCCCGCAACGAGCGCAACCCUUGCCUUUAGUUGCCAGCAUUAAGUUGGGCACUCUAGAGGGACUGCCGUGGUUAACACGGAGGAAGGUGGGGAUGACGUCAAGUCCUCAUGGCCUUUAUAUCUAGGGCGACACACGUGAUACAAUGGACGGUACAAAGGGAAGCGAACCCGCGAGGGGGAGCCAAUCUCAAAAAGCCGUUCUCAGUUCGGAUUGGAGUCUGCAACUCGACUCCAUGAAGUUGGAAUCGCUAGUAAUCGUGGAUCAGCACGCCACGGUGAAUACGUUCCCGGGCCUUGUACACACCGGAGUGC